UAGUCAUCAAUCAUAAAAAUAAUAAUCUAGAAAGAAUAUGAAACCUAAAUUACUGAUUUUAAGGUCUCCAGUUUGGAGUUUGCCAUGAAGCAAUAUAAAAUUUUGUGUUAUGGCCGAAAUAAUUUUCUCCCCGUAUGAAUAAUUCAGGAGUAUGUUAUUUAUCCUUGCAAUCUCCUACUCAGUUUCCAUUAGAGAUUUAACUGCUACAAUAGAACAUUUGACCAUUAUCAUUUCAGAGGGCUACAUUUUUCAAGGGACAUGAUUUACAACAAGGCAAAGUUCUUUUGAUAUUAAACCCAUAUUUUUUAAAAGCCUUUGCUUAUCUUUUUUUUUUUCCUCUCUCAGGAAAAAUUGGAUGUAGGAG
rnacentral:lncRNA from 1 species